UUCCCAGACAAUACAAAUCUCCCUGAAUUGGAGCAACCCUCCAGCAGGCUGGGGUGGGGGGUGGGGGGAGAGGCGGGGGGGGGGGGCGCGUCUCAGGGGUUUGUAGGGUUUGAGCCCCUGGACUAGGUCCUGCUUUGCCUGGAAAAGACUGGCUGGACUGCUGAGCUCUCACAGUGGAGUAGUGGGGUCUGACAUGAAGGAGAAUAUCCGGGGACCGUGGAUCUGGCUCACGAAGCUAGCUGCCUUCUCCUUCCUGGAGCUUCAGAAUGAAAUUUAGAAGGUCGAAUGAAAUCCUAGAGGUGCCUGCAAAAGAAGGAAACGGCCCAGAGCACGCACACAUGGAGUUCACCAAGGUUAUACAGCCGAGGAGCGACAGGACCAGGACUUGGAACCAGAGCGUGCGCUCCUAUCCACCACGCUGCACUCACCCUCUGUCUCUGUCUCCAGGAUGGAUGAGACACAGCCGUGGCCCUCCAGGGGCACAGAGCCUCAGAAGCAAACAGAGAAGUGACAGAAUGGAGUUGCAGUGACAGAGACCACAUGGCCUGCCAAGCCCAAGAUAUUUGCUCUCCAGACCUUUACAGAAAGAUUUGCUGCUCCCAGUGCUAAUGAGAAAGACAACCUAGAAAAAGAUCAUUCC